GAUGAACGCUGGCGGCGUGCUUAACACAUGCAAGUCGAACGGACAAGAUGAAACCUAGUGAUUUUUGUUAGUGGCGGACGGGUGAGUAACGCGUGGGCAACCUGCCUCAUACAGGGGGAUAACACUUAGAAAUAGGUGCUAAUACCGCAUAAGCGCACAGUGCUGCAUGGCACAGUGUGAAAAACUCCGGUGGUAUGAGAUGGACCCGCGUCUGAUUAGCUAGUUGGUGGGGUAAAGGCCUACCAAGGCGACGAUCAGUAGCCGGCCUGAGAGGGUGAACGGCCACAUUGGGACUAAGACACGGCCCAAACUCCUACGGGAGGCAGCAGUGGGGAAUAUUGCACAAUGGGGGAAACCCUGAUGCAGCAACGCCGCGUGAGUGAAGAAGUAUUUCGGUAUGUAAAGCUCUAUCAGCAGGGGAGAAAAAAAUGACGGUACCUGAGGAGGAAGCCCCGGCUAACUACGUGCCAGCAGCCGCCGUAACAC
rnacentral:rRNA from 1 species